GACGAACGCUGGCGGCGUGCCUAAUACAUGCAAGUCGAACGCAGUGGGGACGGGUGAGUAACACGUGGGUAACCUCCCAUCAGAGGGGAUAACACUUGGAAAAAGGUGCUAAACCGAUACUGAUGGAUGGACCCGCUGUGCAUUAGCUAGUUGGUGAGGUAACGGCUCACCAAGGCCACGAUGCAUAGACGACCGUAGAGGGGGAGCGGCCACCCUGGAACUGAGACACGGCCCAGACUCCGUCGGGAGGCAGAGGUAGGGAAUCUUCGGCAAUGGACGAAAGUCUGACCGAGCAACGCCGCGUGAGUGAAGAAGGUUUUCGGAUCGUAAAACUCUGUUGUUAGAGAAGCGGUAUCUAACCAGAAAGCCACGGCUAACGACGGGCCAGCAGACGCGGUAAUAC
rnacentral:rRNA from 1 species